rnacentral:rRNA from 1 species
GACGAACGCUGGCGGCGUGCUUAACACAUGCAAGUCGAGCGGUAAGGCCCUUUCGGGGGUACACGAGUGGCGAACGGGUGAGUAACACGUGGGUGACCUGCCCUUAGCUCUGGGAUAAGCCUGGGAAACUGGGUCUAAUACCGGAUAUGACUCCAUGACGCAUGUUGUGGGGUGGAAAGCCUUGUGCGGCUAGGGAUGGGCCCGCGGCCUAUCAGCUUGUUGGUGGGGUGAUGGCCACCAAGGCGACGACGGGUAGCCGGCCUGAGAGGGCGACCGGCCACACUGGGACUGAGACACGGCCCAGACUCCUACGGGAGGCAGCAGUGGGGAAUCUUGCGCAAUGGGCGAAAGCCUGACGCAGCGACGCCGCGUGAGGGAUGACGGCCU